UACGUAGGGUGCAAGCGUUGUCCGGAAUUAUUGGGCGUAAAGAGCUCGUAGGCGGUCUGUCGCGUCGGCUGUGAAAACUCGGGCUCAACUCCGAGCUUGCAGUCGAUACGGGCAGGCUAGAGUUCGGCAGGGGAGACUGGAAUUCCUGGUGUAGCGGUGAAAUGCGCAGAUAUCAGGAGGAACACCGGUGGCGAAGGCGGGUCUCUGGGCCGAUACUGACGCUGAGGAGCGAAAGCGUGGGGAGCAAACAGG
rnacentral:rRNA from 1 species